rnacentral:rRNA from 1 species
GAUGAACGCUGGCGGCGUGCCUAAUACAUGCAAGUCGAGCGAACGGACGAGAAGCUUGCUUCUCUGAUGUUAGCGGCGGACGGGUGAGUAACACGUGGAUAACCUACCUAUAAGACUGGGAUCACUUCGGGAAACCGGAGCUAAUACCGGAUAAUAUUUUGAACCGCAUUGUUCAAAAGUGAAAGACGGUCUUGCUGUCACUUAUAGAUGGAUCCGCGCUGCAUUAGCUAGUUGGUAAGGUAACGGCUUACCAAGGCAACGAUGCAUAGCCGACCUGUGAGGGGGAUCGGCCACACUGGAACUGAGACACGGUCCAGACUCCUACGGGAGGCAGCAGUAGGGAAUCUUACGCAAUGGGCGAAAGCCUGACGGAGCAACGGCGCGUGAGUGAUGAAGGUCUUCGGAUCGUAAAACUCUGUUAUGAGGGAAGAACAGAUUUGUAAGUAACUGUGCACAUCUUGACGGUACCUAAUCAGAAAGCCACGGCUAACUACGUG